CACAGGGUUCAAAAAUCAGAACGCACAAGGAGAUAAACAUUAAAAUGUUCCCCUGCAAGCUGUGUUAGGAGCCUCAGAAACAUUGAAGUCAUUGAGGUCCCUGAAAAUGGCUGCAGGG
rnacentral:snoRNA from 1 species